GCCUGGGUGGCUCAGUCGGUUGAGUGUCUGACUUUGGCUCAGGUCAUGAUCUCACAGUUCAUGGGUGCAAACCCCGUGUCAGGCU
rnacentral:tRNA from 1 species